AGAUGCUGAAAAACAAGCGUCACAGAAACAUGCCGUUUAAGUCUUUAUGUCAAAAGAAGAAACUUUUAUUUUCAUUCAUAGUAUUUGUCAUGCACAUAGUAGUACCUGUUUUGGGAGAGAAUUGUAAAAACGAAGGAAAUAACUGCUGUUCUGGUUACGUAUGGAACAUCACCGAGGAGCGUUGUAUAGGAUGUAUGGCAGGUUAUGGCGGUCUGAAUUGUGCAUUGCAAUGCCCGUAUCCACUGUACGGUUCGGGAUGUCAAAGGAUAUGUUAGUGUGAUAGAGCUACAUGUGACCGAACAUCUGGAUGUCUUGGAACGAGUAAGCAUAGCUGGACAUAUUAAAAGAUGUACAUAGAGAUCCAUUCCAUCGUUUUGGUUUUUUCUUGAUCCUUAACAAUAAUCAAUUCAAACGUAGCUUUCAAUGCAGUUUGUUGUAUGCUUAUUCUAUCAGAAACAAUUCCAUAUUCACGGAGGUUAAGAACAGAAAUCUUGCGUUGAAAAGUUAUCGUGAAUGAUUGAUCAAAAAGCUUGAAUUAAAAGAUUAAACCAUCGAUCCUCUUUUAACGGAACUUGAGAUUGUAAGGCAACAUAGUAACAUGUCCCAAAUAAUCACAGUGAUUAAAAGAUAUAAAUAAUGUUACCGGGUUUCAACAGUUUCGCAAAUUCUAUCGUCGUUAUAAUGAUCUUAUUCACAAAUACAACCUGUCGUUAAAUGUUGUCUGACGUGUUUAUACCAAUUUUUAGAGACCGGUCGCAGUAGCUGAAGUAGUAGAGCGUUCGCUUCGUAAAUGGAGAUCGAGCCCCGCUCGUGCUAUGGAUGCGUCAAACCUAAGACCGUUUGACGUAAACAUAGAUAGUUAUUGCUCCUUCGCCAAACGCUCGGAAUUCAGAAGCGAGAUCUAGAAUCACGGGUCUUUCGGAUAUGACCUUGAGGAGGUUCUCUAGAUCAUUAUAAUGGCUGGCCUCCUUUUGAAACAUGGAUGAAAAUAUGAAUAUUAACAAUACAUGUCUAUUCAUUUAGAAUGUUAUAUUAUCGCCUAGCCGAGUAGCUCAGUAUGUUAGCACGUUGACUGCUGAACUGUCAAUCUCGGGUUCGAGUCCAGCAGGGGGUUAUACAAAAAAAAAAAAAAAAAAAAAAAAAAAAACAAUUCCAAUUGCUUUAGACUAAAACUUAAUUUUUUGACUAAAUAAAGUAAAUUUAAAAAAAAAUUUCAUUUUCAAAAUAUUGUUUUACAUACCCUCCACUUUUCAUAUAUAUCAAAUUUCUCUGGUGUAGCAUACCUCUUUAAACACUCAGCAUUCAGAAGUGAGAUUUACGGGUCUAUCGGGUAUGAUAAAAAGGGAGAAAAACAUAUUUACAGUCUCUCUCUCUGUUUUUUUUUAAAAGAUAUUCGACAUAGCAAACACCUAUUGCUACUUGAGGAAAUUGUUUUAGAUGUCAUCUGGCAGUCCACGAAAGAAGUAUUCGUUUUGUCACUUUAAUUUGACAAUCAAUAGAAAACCAAACAAGUACAUAUGUACUUGAUGAUUUUAAAAAACGCGGUCAACAUCUUUAAUCAUUAUCCCAUUUUUCAAUGACAUGAAUAUGUUGAAACUUCAAAUGUCUAAAGAAUGAAAUGCGCACAUAUACAUUGAACGAUAGUCGUGAUUGUUUACUUUGAUAUGUGUUUGUUUUAAAUAUAUACAGCUACCAAACAAGGCCAUAUUGUAUACACCGAACAGGACAAAGGAAAAAUAGGAACCAGCGAAAGCGGUAAGGUGUUUUAAUAUCAAAUCAGUUUAUCUAAUUAGAAAACAUACACGGUUUUAUCUAGUACUUGAUAAUGAUUUAGAAUUUCUUGACAAAUUGUAAACAGGCAUGUAAUCAAUAUUGAAAACUUGGCAAAGUGGUAAUUGGUUAGAAAGAAAAGAAAAGUAGAAAUUGGGACUUAAAGCUUGUCAUUAACUCUCAAUUUAUCGUGGUGCCAUACCUUUGUAACUCUAAAUGAUCACUUGCUCGAUGAAGUUCAUGGGUUUUAUCCUCUAUGGUGUGAAUAAAGGAAAGAUACUCUCCCCAAAAUUUCUCUUAGGGGGAUGGUCAUUAAAGCAAGAUUGUAAGUUGCACUGAAUGAACUUCUCUAAUCACAUUGCUGUAUGCGGAAAAUAUCCCCAAUAACUGUUAAUAUUGAAGGUUUGCAGGUAAUGAGGAAUGUAAUUGAUGAGAGGAAUAAAACUUAAAGCCUUUUCAGUAAAUCCAUGAAAUUGUAUAUCACAAUUCCCUCUAUUCAAUAAAUAAAAUUCAGUUCAAAUGACGGCCAUUGGAAUACAUGUACAAAUAUCCGGACAUUUAAUCAAAAGUCUAGUAUAGAUGAGUCGAUCAUUGGAAGAAAUAACUAAAUGAAAAGGUGAAGACAACGAAAGGUGAUCAAGCUCAACUCCUGUAACGAAUACAAAAUUAAGAGUUGGGCUAACACGGAUCGCUGGAUAUACCAGAUGUGGGAUCAGGUGUCUUGGAGGAGUAAACACCCCCUGUCGACCGGUCCCACUCACCGGGAUCCCUAUAUUUUGAUCUGUUAAACGGAGUAAUCUUUUGUCAAAUAAGUGUGUAAAGAAUGGCCUAACAAUUGGCAAACUAGAUCGUUAUAACGACCAUAUAAUUUGCGAAAUGCUGUUUUUAAGCGAGACCGUUGAAACUCCUGAAACAUCAACUUGUUUGUCAGUAAAUGUAUUCCACGUGACGACAGUUGAUAGCGAUCAUACAAAUCAAUCGAUUGGAAGAGCAGUGGAAUCUUAAUAAAAUCUACAAAUGAUAAUUUCACCGAUGCAGAAGAUACAAAUGGUAACAAACAUCUAUAAAAGUGACCCAGAAAAUCGAGAAACACUCACGUACAUCAGGUAAUUCAGUUGUAAAAUAUUGUUCGAUUCAUAGACAGUCUAAUUAGUGAGAAUAUUGAAUGGUGCAAGUCCUAUGAUCUACUGAAACAAUAAAGUAAACAAUGCCAGCAAUUUAGUACACGGACGUACGUAUGUACUCUACAAUAUCCGAUGAAUCAUUUGUCGAGCAGAUAUUCUACUGCUUGCUGAAGAUAUUGUUAACUUUUCCAAACUGCCAUUUAUUUGAUGUGACUGUAAAUCUGUAUGUAUAUACACUGACAAUGUUUUGAUCAUUGUAUAUCGAGCUUUAAAUAGAGAAUGAAGAAAUGGACGUGAUUUAUUAUACACCACUUUUAUUACGUUGAUGAUUUUUCAUCUGUUUGAUGAGGAGGUUACUUUUUAACGUACAUCAAAUAAUGCACUCUAGAAAGGCAUAUAUGUCUUGUGGAUGUUAGUAAAUUAAUUGAAAUGGAUUAAGUAAUCUGAGUGAAAGAGAAAUAAAUAUUCGGUUUCUAUCAGUAAGACAUCUUAUUUUACAUAGUUUAGUACUUUUAAUUUUGUAUUCUUUAUCUUCACUUGUUCAUUGAUAUUGCGUAUAUUCUACCUGUUGCAGGAAUCAGUUAAGUCACAACACCUGUUUAUCCUCAUAUGCUGCAGAAACAUAGAGAGGUAUUGACGCCGAAACAAUAGCUGGUAAUUUAUAAGCAAUUUUAAAUCUUUCUUUACAGUUAAAUUUUACCUUUGUCGAAAAGAGUAUCAAACGAAAAGCAAAUAUUUUAAAUCAUGAAAAUUUGACACUUGUCAUUUUUAAUCUCUCGGCAAUUGACACUUGGACCGCCCGGACCAUAGUUCGGUAUCGUACUGAGCACGACCUCCUACUCUAAGUGUCAUUGGCAUUUGAACUUUAAUCCAAACAACAGUUAAAAUAAGGAAAGAAAAGUAUAUUGAAAUAA